rnacentral:piRNA from 2 species
UAUCCUCAGAUUGGUGCAGCUUUUUCAGUU